CCUAAAGUCCGGAUGUUGAGGAGCAGAGCGACCUGCGCUCGGCGGAGGAAAUCCGCACGGAGUCUGCGUAUCAGAUGAAAGUGUGGAAAGGUUUCCUGAUCUGCAUCCUUACGCCGCGAGCAUCGGAGGCACCGCCACGCUGACCGGCACGGCGCCAAACCUCAUCCUGAUCGGACAGCUGAAGAGCUACUUCCCAGACUGCGAUGCGAUAAACUUCGGCUCCUGGUUUGCGUUUGCUUUCCCGCUCAUGCUGGUCUUCCUGUUUGUGGGAUGGCUCUGGAUCGCGUUCCUCCACGGGGGGUUGAACACACGAUUGUGCUUCACGAGAACCGACCACCGAGCAGCGGCGGAGGCGAGGGCGAGGGCGAUGAUCGAGGACGACUACAAGAAGCUGGGGCCCAUAAAGUGAGGCACACCUGCAGCAAUGCUCAACC